GCCCUGAGACGGCCCGUCUGCUCACUAGCAGGGCCUCAGAGUGGCUGAGCCCAUUGUCAUCAGCUUGGCCGUUUCUCAGGUGGCAGGGUCUCACCCGUCACUGUGUGCUCACUUGGUGUCAACACUCUGGUGAGAGGAAAGGAGGACCCCCACCCCCAGCCCACAACUCCAGGCAGGCAGAAAGACUUUUCUUCAGCUUUUGGAGACCUUGGGGAGAGAGUAACCCACCCACCCCUCAGACUGUCUGUGGGAACCCCGGGGUGCCCCAGGGUGGGCAGUGCUCCCUAGUCAGGGAUUGCAUGCCACACAAGACAGGCCGGGGUCAUCUGGUCUCCGUGGAGUAGUAGCCGUGACUCCCUUUCCUUCCUGGUACCCUGGAUAAGACACUACCUUCCUUGACGGGUCCUACACAAAUGCGUUGGCCGGAUGUAUGUGAAAGAGCCUUCCAGAAGCUCCAGGACCUCCCUGGGAGGGAGCAUAGCGUCCUCGUCCUGGGCAGCUGGCUCCUGCUCCAUCCAGGCUACUGGAUGCCAUGCUGGGGCCAGAGGUUCUCGAGUGAGGAAUCUGUGGAGGUCGGUGAGAGGCGGGAGCCAGGGUCACAGGGAGGGCUGGCCAAGGCCAGCCGCCCACUGCAGGCCACAGCUGAGGCUCUCCCCACACUGAAGGCUUAGUUUUCUCCUGCAGAGCCAUGCUGUGUAAAUCAGUGCUUGGGUUGAGCAGACUCAAGUCAAAGAGUCCAGCAUUGAGCCCCUUCAGGUGUCUGAAGGCCUGGGCCAGCGUGGAGCAUCACUUGGCCAGUUCUGGGAGCCUCACUGAGGCUGGAGCAGUUGGCCCAAAUGAACUGGGCCCUUCCCCAAAUGUGUUCUGGGAGCAGGUGCUAGAUCUCAUGCCCCAAUGGUGGGGCCCACCUUCCCACAGGGAGGAGGCUGAAGGAAAGCCCAUUACUUGGUUUGGGAAGAGUUAGCCUCCUGUCACGUGCCUCCAACUUUUGACCCAAUUCCUGUCUCCCUGAGGGAAAGCCAGACUGGGAAAGGGUGUGGCUGGUGUCCCAGAGGCCUCCGUCCAGCUGAUGUCCCCUGAUGGAGUCAGGCAGCUCCCUUGUGCUGAGAAAGAGUAUGUCUCAAAUGGGCACCAAGUUCUCCUUCCAGGCGGAUGGCGGUAUCUUGUUCCUCUAUCCCCAAAGGGGCUUUGGAUCUCCCCAGGCCUUCAGACCUCCGGCUUCCGGGCGCCUGUCUCCUCCAGGGUGCCCCCGUGGAUGACUCUGCACCCUCGGGAUACUGGGCAGGGGCCGCCCUUAGAGAACCAGUUUGAAGCCAAAUAGUGUCAUGUCAUAGUCCAUCUGAGCAGGAGGCCACAGCAGGUGAACACAAGUUAGUUCAAGGCCGUGAGUAUCCAUAGGGACCCAGGGCCAGACCAUGGCACGUGUCCAGCAAGCUCCUUCCUGUCGUCCCCUGGGUACGCGGCCUGGCAAAGUGACCCCAAGGGCUCCCUUCUCGCCCUGUGGCCCACCUGCUGGGUCCCUCACCCUGGGGAGUGAAGUGGGGGGAACAGAAUGAGCAGCUACAGCCUUCCUACGAUUCAAUCUGAGUGGCUGUCUAGAACUCACAAGCCUUCUGAGAAGCUCGGUGGGAGGCCCACCCUCCUCCAAAGGGAGGUAAGUGCCCCCAGGUACAGGUGUCUGGGGGGAAGCUGAGGAAAGCCUUGCUGAGCCUCUGCGUGGGACAGGCCCCGGCCCUUCCCUUGAAGAUGGGAAGCCUGAGGCAGGUCCAGCCCUGGGGGGAUGGCCAGGGAAGGGAAGAGCUGGUGGUGGAGGUGAGCCGGAUGGGCGGCGAGCUCUGUGGGCCUCUUCCUAGAAUGGCCCUCACCUUGUGUGCUGGGGCGGGGUGACUAGGUUGGGGGCACUGCCGGAGAACAGUCGGCACCCCUGGCCAGAGCCUGGGAAAGGAACUGGCCGAGGGACAUGCCGUCCGGCCCCUGCAAAGAGCUUCAGAGGAGGAGGCAGCAAAGAGGAAGCCCCCAUGGCCUCUUCCAGCACCCCCACUGCCUGCACACCCACGGGGGGCUCCUCUCCACGAUCCCACAUCAAGGGGUCUGCCAGUCAGGGGGCUCCCCUGGAAACAACCUAAAGCUGCCAUUCACCAUUGGAGUAGCUUUUUACAGUGCACCACGCAGCCAUAUAUCAUCUGUGAUUUUGUGUAAUCUUCACUGCAAGGAGGCCCUUCAGGAGGACACAUGAGACUUAGCUCUCUUGGCAGGUGACAGUUUCUCUUCCCUUGUGUUUGAUGACUGUGGCAGUUCCGAGGACUAUCAGUCAGGAGUUUUGUAUUGAAAUUUGCCUCGUGUUUUUCUCAUGAUUGGACCGGGGCUCUGGGUUUCCAGGAGCAGGAUCACAGAGGACAAGAUGCUCCAGGCUCAUCCUGUAUAUCUCCACCCUCAGUCCUAGAAUCAGCCAUUUCUCAAGAAUCCCUAGUUCCUUUUAUUAGAGAAGAUGGGAAAGUAAAACUUGGGCACUAGCGUUCAGCCCCUGGACCCCUGGCGACAGUCAUCAGCCCUGCAGAAUGAACGAAGGUCAUAUUCUUGAGGGCAGCCUCUCUGGCCUGAGGGAGGUGACGGCAUGAGGUCACUAGACUCCUGAAACCAGAAGAUGGAAGUGGGUGGGGACAAAGGCAGAAGGAAGGAGAGGUGAGCCCCACUGUCCUCCUGCUCAUCAGCUCGUGGCCACAGCAGGUCCCUGGCCUCUCUUGCGUCACUACAAGCCAGUUUCCACAGGGAUCCAGAGCCAUCUCGCUACUGAGUACAUCUGACCUGCUCCCUGCCCUGCUGGUCCUCAGGAUAGAGACCAAAGUCCAGUGACUCGGCCUCUCCAGCCUCCCUCCACCUUUCCCUUCCUCCAUGUGCUUGCUGGGAUCAGCCCUGGCACCUGCCGCCUUCCCAUCAUCCAAACACCCUGCCACGUCCCCCUCUCCACAGCCCUAUUCUCAUAAGAUCGCAGCUCACUGUGUCAUUGUCACUCGCUUCCUAUGUUGAGGUCCGGGGGGUGCAGCCCAGCCACUGGGCACCGCAAGCCUGCUGGUGGGUUGGAUGUUUCUCAGGGGAUGAGGAACGGCCGGUGGGAGCUGUGGAGGGGCCGAGAUCUCCGGGUCUGUCCGAUGGCACCACGCUGCUGACCUGGCCCCAAGCCCUAUAUUCCAUGAGGGAGGACCUGGGUCUGUCCUUCAGGGUCUGACAUGGGAGAGGCUCUUGGGAGGUGUCCAUUGAUUGUCAGAUUGAAUGACUGACUCAGUA